AUUGAACGCUGGCGGCAUGCUUUACACAUGCAAGUCGAACGGUAACAGGCCGCAAGGUGCUGACGAGUGGCGAACGGGUGAGUAAUGCAUCGGAACGUGCCCAGUCGUGGGGGAUAACGCAGCGAAAGCUGCGCUAAUACCGCAUACGAUCUAUGGAUGAAAGCGGGGGACCGAAAGGCCUCGCGCGAUUGGAGCGGCCGAUGUCAGAUUAGGUAGUUUGUGGGGUAAAGGCUCACCAAGCCGACGAUCUGUAGCUGGUCUGAGAGGACGACCAGCCACACUGGGACUGAGACACGGCCCAGACUCCUACGGGAGGCAGCAGUGGGGAAUUUUGGACAAUGGGCGCAAGCCUGAUCCAGCAAUGCCGCGUGCAGGAAGAAGGCCUUCGGGUUGUAAACUGCUUUUGUACGGAACGAAAAGGCUCUGGUUAAUACCUGGGGCUCAUGACGGUACCGUAAGAAUAAGCACCGGCUAACUACGUGCCAGCCGCCGCGGUAACAC
rnacentral:rRNA from 1 species